UACGUAGGGGGCAAGCGUUGUCCGGAUUCAUUGGGCGUAAAGAGCUCGUAGGCGGUUCAGCAAGUCGGGUGUGAAACCUCCAGGCUCAACCUGGAGACGCCACCCGAUACUGCUGUGACUUGAGUCCGGUAGGGGACCACGGAAUUCCUGGUGUAGCGGUGAAAUGCGCAGAUAUCAGGAGGAACACCGGUGGCGAAGGCGGUGGUCUGGGCCGGAACUGACGCUGAGGAGCGAAAGCGUGGGGAGCGAACGGG
rnacentral:rRNA from 1 species